GCCUGGUCUCAAACUCACUCUUGGAAUGACCCUGAGCAUCUGGUCUGCCUGUCCCUUCUUUCCACUGCUUCGUUUCUGCUGUGCUGGUGAUGGAACUCAGGGUUUUGUGCCUGACAGUCCCAGAUGCCUCUGUGAGCCCAGAGAGAUAAGCUUGUGCAACAGCAGGUCCCAGACUGCCAGCUCCUGAAAGAACUCCAGUUGAAGAUGUCUGGAUGAAUGUCAGAGGACUUUGGUUAGCAGCUGUUUCUAGAGGCACAGGUGACUAAGGCUUCCGUGACAGGCAGUGGAAGAUGCAGGCGGUAAGAGCAGGCUCAGAAGAGUGUGAGCAAGCUGCCAGGGAC